rnacentral:rRNA from 1 species
UACGAAGGGGGCUAGCGUUGCUCGGAAUUACUGGGCGUAAAGGGCGCGUAGGCGGCACUGUUAGUCAGGCGUGAAAGUCCUGGGCUCAACCUGGGAACUGCGCUUGAUACGGCAGAGCUAGAGGAUGGAAGAGGCUCGCGGAAUUCCCAGUGUAGAGGUGAAAUUCGUAGAUAUUGGGAAGAACACCGGUGGCGAAGGCGGCGAGCUGGUCCAUUACUGACGCUGAGGCGCGACAGCGUGGGGAGCAAACAGGAUUAG